rnacentral:rRNA from 1 species
GUAGUCUCGCACAGAUGCAUAUCAAUAAGCGGAGGAAAAGAAACUAACAAGGAUUCCCCUAGUAACGGCGAGUGAAGCGGGAAGAGCUCAAAUUUGAAAUCUUAAAGGGUUUCCCUUUACGAAUUGUAGUUUAAAGAAGUGUUUUCUGUUGAGGUUUUGGUAAAAGUUCUUUGGAAUAGGACAUCAUAGAGGGUGAGAAUCCCGUAUUUGACCUUUACUUUCAACUUUGUGAUACACUUUCAAAGAGUCGGAUUGUUAGGGAAUGCAGUCCAAAAUGGGUGGUAAAUUUCAUCUAAAGCUAAAUAUUGGCGAGAGACCGAUAGCGAACAAGUACCGUGAGGGAAAGAUGAGAAGAACUUUGAAAGGAGAGUUAAACAGUACGUGAAAUUGUCAAAAGGGGAGCGUUUGACACCAGUGUUGUUUUUCUGAAAAUCAAUUAAAGAACUGUUUAUGCUAAGCUGUUUAGACUUUAUCAGCUAUCUGUUUAGUUUUGAGCUUUUCUUUAAUGCACUUUUCAGUUAACAAGUCAACAUCAAUUUCUUUUGCUGUAAAAAAGCUUGAGGAAGGUGGCUUGAGAUUCGUCUUAAGUGUUUAUAGCCUCUUGCCUAUGCAGUCGGAGAGAUUGAGGUCUGCAGCGUAGAUCCUUCGGGGCUAAAUGCAUUUGUGCUAAGUUAUAGCAUUUUAUAGACAACUUGUUGACUAUGAUUUGUCUUGUAGCUUACUCGCUUAUGUUAUUUUACCUACGCUUAGGAUGUUGAUGUGAUACUGCGAGCA